GUCGUCCAUACAUUACACGAUUAGGUUUUCCAGUUCACCUGUAUUCAUUCACUCACUCCAUUCAUAAACAGAAGCAAACUUACCUUAACAACAACAACUACAAUUCCAUGGAAACUCUUCGCUCCCACAAUCCUCUUCUCUCUCUCCUCUUCCUCCAUCUUCUUCAAUUCUCAUCUCUCUCUCUUCUCUCAUCAGCCUACACUUUACCAAACAAGUACUUCAUCAACUGCGGCUCAAACUCCGACGUCUCAGUCACCGGCGCGCCCAACCGGAACUUCAUCUCCGACGAGAAUUCCGGCUCCUUUUACCUCGUCGGAAAAACCAGCUCCGUCUCAGACACCAACACAUCAAACUCCUCUCCUCUGUAUCAAACCGCAAGAAUCUUCACAAACCCGUCUUCAUAUGUGCUCCAAAUCGACCCGAGUGGGACUUACAUGGUACGCCUCCAUUUUUAUGCUUUCUCUUCUUCGAAGAAAAAUCUCUCAAAUGCCCAAUUCAACGUUUCGGCUUCUGGGUUUUCUCUGUUGUCGAAUUUCAGUGUUCAAAACCCUAUAAUCAAUGAAUUCAUGCUCACCAUCAAUGUAUCCGAAUUUAUAAUCUCUUUCACACCUACCCAGAAAUCGUCUUUUGCCUUUGCAAAUGCGAUUGAGGUUUUUCUUGCCCCUAACAUCACAGAUGUUUCGACUCCGCCCAUUCAUGUGACUCCUUCAGGAGCUCGCGGUACCUACGAUGGCUUGCUUUCUCAAGCCCUGCACACAGUUUAUAGGGCUAAUGUGGGUGGUCCUCCGAUCACACCAAAUAAAGAUACACUAUGGAGGAAUUGGGUAUCUGAUGAUGAUUAUUUAGUUACCCCCAAUGCGGCGAAGAACAGUGAAUUUCAUAGUGAUAGGCCUGCAUACCGUCCUGGAGGAGCUACUGAGUACUCUGCCCCUGAUCUUGUCUACCAAACAGCAAAAGAAUUGAAUGUAAACUCUAGUGGGGGUUCAAAUUUCGUCAAUAUAACGUGGCGGUUCAAUGUGAGUAAGAAUGCUCCACACUUCGUUCGAGUACAUUUUUGCGACAUAGUUAGCACAUCCUAUAAUGAUGUUCUUCAGUUCAAUCUGUAUCUGUAUAGCAAGUUUAGUCAGAACAUAUUUCCAUAUAAUGUUGUUGGCCAGUUGGCAGUUCCAUUUUACGAAGAUUUCGUGGUUGAUUCUGACAAUUCUGGCCUUAUGGAUAUCAUUAUUGGCCCUCGGAAUGAUUCAAUAACUAAAACAGCUUUUCUGAAUGGGGUAGAGAUCAUGGAGGUAAUAACGGGAUCGGGUUUGGUAACUGAGGUGAAGAAGCCACCGAAGAAACAUCUGUUUGUUGUAGUUGGUUCGGUUGUUGGAAGUGUGGCGUCUCUGCUAAUGUUGGUAGUAGUGGUCGUGGUGUUUCUGAAUUGCAAGAGAGCAAAGCCUGUUGAACCUUCAGUUUGGCAGGCAAUCCCUGAUUAUGGAGGUGGCAGUUCUUAUGUUAGUACUACUGAAAGAACGGUCAAUGGCUUCCCUCUUGAUAAUCUAAAUCUUGGGUUGAAGCUAUCUUUUCAAGAAAUUCUGUUUGCAACUAAUAAUUUUGACACUAAGUUGAUGAUUGGUGAGGGUGGGUUUGGAAAAGUCUACAAAGCAACUCUUCGGAAUGGCAUGAAGGUGGCUGUCAAACGAAGUGAGCCAGGAAAUGGCCAGGGCCGUCCAGAAUUCCAUACAGAGAUCAUAGUCUUGUCCUCAAUUCGCCAUCGCCAUCUUGUUUCCUUGAUUGGGUAUUGUGAUGAAAGGUCUGAGAUGAUACUUGUUUACGAGUUCAUGGAGAAGGGGACUCUGAGGGAUCAUCUAUACAUUUUGAAUGGAGAGUCUCAGAAAUCAUCGUCACAAUCUGAAUUGUCUUGGAACCAAAGGCUUCAACUUUGCAUUGGUGCUGCAAAGGGUCUAGAUUAUCUUCAUAAUAGUUCAGGAAGAGGCAUCAUUCACCGUGAUGUUAAGUCAACGAACAUCUUACUUGAUGAGGAUUAUGUGGCUAAAGUUGCUGAUUUUGGUCUCUCAAGAUUAGGUGAUCUUGAUCAAACCCAUGUCAGCACAGGUGUAAAAGGUAGUUUUGGUUACCUUGAUCCUGAAUAUUUUAGAUGCCUACAGUUAACGCAGAAAUCCGAUGUUUACUCAUUUGGGGUAGUCCUCCUAGAAGUGCUUUGUGCAAGACCAGCCAUCAAUAACUCGCUUCCUGGGAAGGAAGUGAACUUGGCUGAAUGGGGGUUGUUUUGGCAAAAGAAAGGGCAGCUUGAAAAUAUUGUUGAUCCUUUGCUUGUGGGCAAGAUCAAUCCCAAUUCGUUGAGAAAGUUUGGUGAAACGGUGGAGAAGUGUUUGAAAGAAUAUGGUGUUCAAAGGCCCAACAUGAAUGAUGUUGUGUGGGACUUGGAAUAUGCACUGCAGCUUCAACAAACUGCAAGGCACAGAGAACCUCAUGAGGACAGCACAACAGACGCAUCGUGGGUGCUGCCGGUGCCUGCCAUUCAGCAGUUGCCUUCUCAUAGCAUCCCAAUUGAUGAAUAUGACAUUCCCAUGGAUGAUUUUACAGAUACAAGUCGUUUAUAUGCGCACGGAGUGUUCUCCAUGUUGAACAUUGAUGAUGGCAGAUGAUCUUGCAGUUUGAGAUGCCAAUACACCACUAGCACACACGGUGAGGCAGCGAAUCUGUUUUAAGGAGACUGUGAUAUUACACAGGUGGGCAUUCUGGAGAUCGAGUCUGAAGGCUUUUGUCUGGAUCUGUGUUCUGUUGUCAGCUAACCCUUCUGCCUCAUGUGGAGGUUCCUAGAGUGUCUCAAGUGUUUAAGUUCUGUUGUUUCUGUAUAAAUAAGACUCGGUUGUUCUGUUGGUUGUACUUACGAUACUCUAAUGUGUGUGGGUAUAAUGUAUGAAUGACUUUUAAUUAUGUAUAUAAAGUUUUUAAAUAUUCCGUUUCAUAUAAGUCAA